UUCUCGGAUGCAGUGGAGUUUUAUUUGCUCAAAGUAAAAAUUUUUAGUACUCCUCCUACUUUACUUAAAAUCAUCCCUAUGCUAAAUUGGGUAACGUUAUGUACGUAAAGCCAUCCUACGGGGAUUGCGGAGUUGUCGUCCCAGCUCAGCUGAUGAGGGCUUUAUGCGCAUACUCAGGGAGUGGGUUUCACCACUCUCUCGGUCUUUGAUGGUCGCAUAUAUUUUUUUUAACCUCGCCCCCAUCAAUUCUAAUUGAGUACACGUCGCUUGGAAUCUCUUUACACUGCCCAAAAUUUCAAGCCGAAGGGACCAAAAUAACCGGCCCCCUUAAGUUAAGAUGUUUAUAGGAUAUUAAAGUGGUGGUGAAAACUUAAUUUAGUACUUGGUACCCUCGAGCGAAGAUUCUUUGCUUCAGGCAAUUAUCUUGCAUACUAAUACGAUCACAUCAAUCUGUAUACGUUAUAUAUUCACAUACUUCCCUGGUGGACUAUUAUUUUACAUACUAUAAACUGAUUUAUUUAUGUUCCCUCACUGCUAAGGACUCUAGAAUCUUCUGUAUUCUUCUGGAAGAGUUCAAUGUAUAGAUAACGACCACUUCUCAUUGCAAUUAAGCAGCUUAUUUGCUAGUCGGUUUCCAUUGCAAGUAUUUUGCACUGUCUAAAUGUCUACUCUAUAUACUCUACUUAAGGUUAUUAAUAUUUAAUAACCGAAAAGCGGGAAAGAAGAUAAAAGAGGUGAUCAGCAGGGAGGUUUGCUACAAAAAGCCACCUAUAUGUGAACAACGCAUUUAUCAAA